UUUCCAGGACAUUUAGAUGAGCUUGUCUGUGAUUGGCUGUGCAACCAGAUGCGACAUUCUGUUUUCUGAAACAGAUCUAGGCUGCGGAGCGUUCCUCUGCGGAGAUCCUUGGGUAGGAUCAAUGGAGAAGAGUCCUUUGGCAGCCUCGUUGCUAAUCUUGUGGCUUCAUCUUGGCCGAGUGUGCAGCGCAUUGGAUGUGAACCAGUAUCCUCUGUCGCUUCAUGUUCACGAAGGAGAAAACACCAAUUUCACCUGCCAUUUUCCUACCAGCAGUUUUUAUGGUUUACAGUGGUACAGAUGGGAACCUGCAAAAAGCCCCAAGAUCCUGUUUACAAUUGCUUUAAAUGGGGAUGAAAAGGAGGAAGGACGAGUAAAAGUCACUCUUGAUACUAAGAAGGGUUCUAGCUCCUUGUACAUCAAAGGAUCCCAGCCGGAAGAUGCUGCCACAUACAUCUGUGCCUUGACAGACACAGUGCUCUCCAGGCACCUGCAGCCCAUACCCAAACCCGUGGCUGGUGCCGCUCUGGUCUCAGCGUUGACAAGUGCCAUGCGCAGGGUGGAAAAGGCAAAUUCAUUGAGUUACAGUGUUUUCAAUAAUCAGAGGAAAGUGCAGACCCAGAUAAACAAACCUUCCUGUCACUGUAGCUCCCUCAAUUAACUGGACUAUUACUAAGCCCCACUGGCCUCGACUCCCACCAAUAUAUUAGCUGUGUCACUGAGUCGGGUCCCUUACUUCCUCUUUUGGCAAAACCGAUUCCAGGUGCACUAGAUGGUUACUCCAACCUAUGUAAAGUAAUCUGGUUAAACUAGGAUAAUAUUUACUCCUCACUGUUGCUACAUCCUAAGCGCUAGUCAUUCGGUCAUGUCUGUUCACAUGCAUGAGUGGAACAUGUGAACGUGCCCUCUUCUCACUCCUGGCAAGGAGAUCUGCCUGUGUCAUACCCGGAACAGGCAAUGCCAAUUUUGGUUUUGGCUCAGUUCAACUUGCCCCCUACGUGAACAUCUGGAUUUCACCUCUUCUCAUAUAUGGAUAGUUGCAUUUUUAAAAAUCACUUGGGAGGCCUGAAAGGAGCACGGAUAAGGAAAGCUCACUAUUAUGCUUGAUCUGUCCCCUAGUUUGUACUGGGAUUGCGAUAUUGAAUAAGUAACUGAACUCGAUGUCAUUUCCAGGCAUAUGAGCUGGGUAGAGCAUCUGGGGCCGUGCUCAUUUUGCAGACUUCCAAACAAUCCAGUAGUUUAAUACCCCAUUGGUGCUCUAGAGGCCUCUAAUUCUGGAGCCUUUUGGGGUUUGGUUAACAUGAAUUAACUCCUUUCUGGGCCUUUUCAUCUCGUAGCUUGUCAGCUUUCUCCCGACAUCUACAUUAAUGACUGCUCAUCCAGCUUCUGUCCGGCUUCUUAAAUUAUGCUGCCAGUGCUCUCUUUGUCUCUUUCUUUUUGUAGAUUUUUGGGUUUGGAAAUCUCACUCCUGUCAUCAUCACAUGUAAAAAAAAAAAAAACAACUGCAUAUUUUGAAAACAGUA